AUAAUAUUAAUAAAAAGUCCGCAGACAGCAGGUAUCCUGAGUUUAUGGAGGGAAUAAAUCCUGCCGAGGCAUAUUAAUAACAGAUUUUCUGUUGUUUUGUAUUUCGUUGUCUGCACAAGCAGAUUUUUUUUAUGGCAUU
rfam:Berkelbacteria bacterium GW2011_GWA1_36_9 TS31_C0003, whole genome shotgun sequence.